ACCCUUGCCAUUCCAUGGGUCUUGAUCCUAGUUUGUUCUUCAGAUGUUUUGGUUUCUCCUAUUUUUUUUUUUGUUAGGUUACUGAAAAAUAGUUAAACUGUCCUCAGUUCCCAAUUUCCAAAAGGCUGUUUUCUGACCAACUUGGCUGCUUUAUAUGCCGCUAAUGCUCCAGCGCUUUUUAAAACUUGGUUCUGGUCUUCACUGGAUUGAUUUAUAACCCAAAUCUUACAUCUCAUACCAUUUUGUUUAAAAUGUUGAACUGAAUUUUAGGUUAUAAUUUUUCCUAUAUAAAAUGUCAACAUCAGGGAAACGUUAAGACCUAGAAGAGUGGUCUUAAAAAUAAGUUGUAGCAUGUGACCAAGACACUACUCAUUUUACUCAAUGCCUUUUAGGAAUGCAGUACUUGAGUUGUAUUACAAGUUUAGAGACAAUCAUAAGGAAGAACAGACUGCAAGUUGAAAUGGAGAGCCAGGACCAAAAGCAAAAAUUGCUAGGUUAUUUACUUCAGCACGGGGAAAGAUCUUUUACUAUUAGAGGCUAAUAUUUCACUAGUGUGUGAAUAAACAUCUAAAAAUGAGAGAAUGGAGGGGCACCUGAGUGGCUCAGUUGGAUAAGCGAGAGCCGAAGAGCACA